rnacentral:rRNA from 1 species
GGGUUGUGAGGUUAAGCGACUAAGCGUACACGGUGGAUGCCCUGGCAGUCAGAGGCGAUGAAGGACGUGCUAAUCUGCGAUAAGCGUCGGUAAGGUGAUAUGAACCGUUAUAACCGGCGAUUUCCGAAUGGGGAAACCCAGUGUGAUUCGUCACACUAUCAUUAACUGAAUCCAUAGGUUAAUGAGGCGAACCGGGGGAACUGAAACAUCUAAGUACCCCGAGGAAAAGAAAUCAACCGAGAUUCCCCCAGUAGCGGCGAGCGAACGGGGAGGAGCCCAGAGCCUGAAUCAGUGUGUGUGUUAGUGGAAGCGUCUGGAAAGGCGCGCGAUACAGGGUGACAGCCCCGUACACAAAAAUGCACAUGCUGUGAGCUCGAUGAGUAGGGCGGGACACGUGGUAUCCUGUCUGAAUAUGGGGGGACCAUCCUCCAAGGCUAAAUACUCCUGACUGACCGAUAGUGAACCAGUACCGUGAGGGAAAGGCGAAAAGAACCCCGGCGAGGGGAGUGAAAAAGAACCUGAAACCGUGUACGUACAAGCAGUGGGAGCACAGAGCAAUCUGUGUGACUGCGUACCUUUUGUAUAAUGGGUCAGCGACUUAUAUUCUGUAGCAAGGUUAACCGAAUAGGGGAGCCGAAGGGAAACCGAGUCUUAACUGGGCGUUAAGUUGCAGGGUAUAGACCCGAAACCCGGUGAUCUAGCCAUGGGCAGGUUGAAGGUUGGGUAACACUAACUGGAGGACCGAACCGACUAAUGUUGAAAAAUUAGCGGAUGACUUGUGGCUGGGGGUGAAAGGCCAAUCAAACCGGGAGAUAGCUGGUUCUCCCCGAAAGCUAUUUAGGUAGCGCCUCGUGAAUUCAUCUCCGGGGGUAGAGCACUGUUUCGGCAAGGGGGUCAUCCCGACUUACCAACCCGAUGCAAACUGCGAAUACCGGAGAAUGUUAUCACGGGAGACACACGGCGGGUGCUAACGUCCGUCGUGAAGAGGGAAACAACCCAGACCGCCAGCUAAGGUCCCAAAGUCAUGGUUAAGUGGGAAACGAUGUGGGAAGGCCCAGACAGCCAGGAUGUUGGCUUAGAAGCAGCCAUCAUUUAAAGAAAGCGUAAUAGCUCACUGGUCGAGUCGGCCUGCGCGGAAGAUGUAACGGGGCUAAACCAUGCACCGAAGCUGCGGCAGCGACGCUGAUGCGUUGUUGGGUAGGGGAGCGUUCUGUAAGCCUGUGAAGGUGUGCUGUGAGGCAUGCUGGAGGUAUCAGAAGUGCGAAUGCUGACAUAAGUAACGAUAAAGCGGGUGAAAAGCCCGCUCGCCGGAAGACCAAGGGUUCCUGUCCAACGUUAAUCGGGGCAGGGUGAGUCGACCCCUAAGGCGAGGCCGAAAGGCGUAGUCGAUGGGAAACAGGUUAAUAUUCCUGUACUUGGUGUUACUGCGAAGGGGGGACGGAGAAGGCUAUGUUGGCCGGGCGACGGUUGUCCCGGUUUAAGCGUGUAGGCUGGUUUUCCAGGCAAAUCCGGAAAACUAAGGCUGAGGCGUGAUGACGAGGCACUACGGUGCUGAAGCAACAAAUGCCCUGCUUCCAGGAAAAGCCUCUAAGCAUCAGGUAACAUCAAAUCGUACCCCAAACCGACACAGGUGGUCAGGUAGAGAAUACCAAGGCGCUUGAGAGAACUCGGGUGAAGGAACUAGGCAAAAUGGUGCCGUAACUUCGGGAGAAGGCACGCUGAUAUGUAGGUGAAGUCCCUCGCGGAUGGAGCUGAAAUCAGUCGAAGAUACCAGCUGGCUGCAACUGUUUAUUAAAAACACAGCACUGUGCAAACACGAAAGUGGACGUAUACGGUGUGACGCCUGCCCGGUGCCGGAAGGUUAAUUGAUGGGGUCAGCGCAAGCGAAGCUCUUGAUCGAAGCCCCGGUAAACGGCGGCCGUAACUAUAACGGUCCUAAGGUAGCGAAAUUCCUUGUCGGGUAAGUUCCGACCUGCACGAAUGGCGUAAUGAUGGCCAGGCUGUCUCCACCCGAGACUCAGUGAAAUUGAACUCGCUGUGAAGAUGCAGUGUACCCGCGGCAAGACGGAAAGACCCCGUGAACCUUUACUAUAGCUUGACACUGAACAUUGAGCCUUGAUGUGUAGGAUAGGUGGGAGGCUUUGAAGUGUGGACGCCAGUCUGCAUGGAGCCGACCUUGAAAUACCACCCUUUAAUGUUUGAUGUUCUAACGUUGACCCGUAAUCCGGGUUGCGGACAGUGUCUGGUGGGUAGUUUGACUGGGGCGGUCUCCUCCUAAAGAGUAACGGAGGAGCACGAAGGUUGGCUAAUCCUGGUCGGACAUCAGGAGGUUAGUGCAAUGGCAUAAGCCAGCUUGACUGCGAGCGUGACGGCGCGAGCAGGUGCGAAAGCAGGUCAUAGUGAUCCGGUGGUUCUGAAUGGAAGGGCCAUCGCUCAACGGAUAAAAGGUACUCCGGGGAUAACAGGCUGAUACCGCCCAAGAGUUCAUAUCGACGGCGGUGUUUGGCACCUCGAUGUCGGCUCAUCACAUCCUGGGGCUGAAGUAGGUCCCAAGGGUAUGGCUGUUCGCCAUUUAAAGUGGUACGCGAGCUGGGUUUAGAACGUCGUGAGACAGUUCGGUCCCUAUCUGCCGUGGGCGCUGGAGAACUGAGGGGGGCUGCUCCUAGUACGAGAGGACCGGAGUGGACGCAUCACUGGUGUUCGGGUUGUCAUGCCAAUGGCACUGCCCGGUAGCUAAAUGCGGAAGAGAUAAGUGCUGAAAGCAUCUAAGCACGAAACUUGCCCCGAGAUGAGUUCUCCCUGACUCCUUGAGAGUCCUGAAGGAACGUUGAAGACGACGACGUUGAUAGGCCGGGUGUGUAAGCGCAGCGAUGCGUUGAGCUAACCGGUACUAAUGAACCGUGAGGCUUAACCUUACAACGCC